rnacentral:rRNA from 1 species
AUGCAUCCAUGGCCUGUGCAAAUCAUCAAUCAUCAUGUUCGAUGUCACCUCCCGGUUAAACUACAAGAACGUUCCCACAUGGCAGAGACAUCUGCAGGCAUUCUUAUCUGGCAGACCAGGCAGGUGGCGACAACCAUUUGGAUGAACAGAGGCAUGAUCUUUACAAUGAAGCACAAAGUUUGUCAGACAGAGUCGAUAUAUCUAACUAUCCAAGCUACCAUUGAUGAAGCACAAGAUGGUGAAAAUGUGGAAAAUCAUAUUUCACUGGCCAAAAUGUUAGAAGUGAACCAGGAAGUUAGUACUGCCAAAAAAUAUGCGUACACCAUGAUGGUCACUGAGAAAUCUGGCAUACAGAUAUGGCGUUGUGUGGUUGGAGGUGCUAAUAGGUAG